rnacentral:lncRNA from 1 species
GUAUUUUAUUUUGGUGGUAUUAGAUAAUAAAUUUUGAUGUGAAACGUUGUUGAGAAAUAUUUAAGGAAUGGAAGAAAAUUAAAUUAAUAUUGAUUUUUUUUAUUAAAUUUCGAAAAACUUGAAAAGGUAUGUAAAUAUAAUUGUUUGUGCUAUUAUAUCAGCAGAUGGAGCCUGGUCUAGUGGUUGUUGUGUGUGCAUGGGAGGGAUGUGUGCUUGGUCUUAAGUUCUAACCUUCCCAAGACCAAAAAGGCUCCUAGCUAUUUUUACUUUCCACCUUGUCAUGUGGGUCCCACCAUGAGGUAAGAAAGAGAGAACUAAAACUUCUCUUAGAGGGAGAGCACUUUCACGUUAAUUUCUCUUCAUUUUUGCAUGGGGUGGGCCACAUGAAUUCUAGACCUAGGAUGCUUGUANGUGACCUUGGAGUUUCUUGGAGAGGUUAAACAUUUCAUUAAAAAUGGUAGGCUCCAUAAAUGGGUAUUAUAGGGGCAUUUAAACACACUUUAAACCUACCAUUUACACACAUUAAAGAGAGGUUUUAUGGGUGUUAGUGUGGAGUUAGGAAUGGGAAAAAUCUGAAAUGGUCUAAGGAUGCCCUUGGUAGUGACCUUGAGUGGGGGAUUAAGGGUUAGAAAGGUUUAGGUUUGAUUUUAUUUAAGUGUGUAAUUUUAAGUUAGUUAGGGGGUAUUAAAAACUUGGUGAGAGAGUAGAAAAGAAGUGAAAGCCGUAAGUUGAGUGAGAGAAACAUUUCUUGGUGAGAAACAACCAAGUUGGUGAGAGAAAGAAAGUACUCAACCUAGCUUUGAAGUUGGAAAUUUGAAGGGAACCUAGAAGGGUGAAGGGCUUGGAGUCUAAAGAAGGAAAGAAACCUAAGAACCUUGGAGACUAGCUUGGAACUAGAGGUAAGGGGUUUAACUUGGGAUAUAAUAUGGUGUNUGAUGGGUAGAAGGUAACAUGAUAAUAUUGAUGCAUGCUUUCUUUCUUUUGUGUUGAGAUUAAAGUUAAUAUGUUGAUGCAUGUUCUCUCUUUUUGUGUUUAGUUUCAUGUGUUGUUGUAUGGAGAGUGAUUAUUUUCAUGCAUUUUCAAAAUGGGGUUGUGAAGGGGUAUACUUUGGGUUGUAUAUAUAUAUAGUGAUUUUCGUUUUUUUUUGUAGUUAUGGGUAUACCUUGAUCUUUAUAUGUUGGUUUUUCAAAAAGUGUUGUUGUUAAAAUGGGUAUACAUGUUUUGGGCACUUUGGGGUGAUGUAUGUGUAUGAAAA